rnacentral:tRNA from 1 species
AGAAUCAUAGCUCAGUGGUAGAGCAUUUGCCUAGCAUGAAUGAGGUCCUGGGUUCAAUCCCUAGUAUCUA